rnacentral:rRNA from 1 species
UACGGGGGGAGCAAGCGUUGUUCGGACUUACUGGGCGUAAAGGGCGCGUAGGCGGCCCGGUAAGUAGGGGGUGAAAUCUUGCGGCUCAACCGCAAGGCUGCCUUCUAAACUGCCAGGCUCGAGCACAGUAGAGGCAGGUGGAAUUCCCGGUGUAGCGGUGGAAUGCGUAGAGAUCGGGAAGAACAUCGGUGGCGAAGGCGGCCUGCUGGGCUGUUGCUGACGCUGAGGCGCGACAGCGUGGGGAGCAAACAGG